rfam:Trichobilharzia regenti genome assembly, scaffold: TRE_scaffold0078623
AUCCAGCUGGCGAGUCCCAAAUAGGACUAAGUGCGCGUUAUCCUGGAU